rnacentral:rRNA from 2 species
UUCUUUUAGAAAAUAUUAAAAGUAUGUCCUGCCCAAUGAAAAUUUCAAUGGCCGCGGUAUCCUAACCGUGCAAAGGUAGCAUAAUAAUUUGCCUAUUAAUUGUAGGCUAGAAUGAACGGAUCAACGAAAUAAAUACUGUCUCUAAUAUAUAAAUAAAAAUUAUCUUUUAAGUGAAGAGACUUAAAUAAAAUUAAAAGACAGGAAGACCCUAUUGAGCUUUACUUAAAAUAUAAGUAAAUUAUAUUAUAGUUUGGUUGGGGUGACCUAGGAAUAUUUAACAUCCUAAAAUUAAAAGAUAUAUAAAUCUUAAAUAGAUCCAAUAUAUGAUCACUAAAUUAAGUUACCAUAGGGAUAACAGGCUAAUAUUUUUUUAGAGUUCUUAUUAACAAAAAUGUUUGGCACCUCGAUGUUGGCUUAGGGAUACAUUAUGGUGCAGAAGCCAUAAAUGAAGGUUUGUUCAACCUAUAAAACCCU